rnacentral:rRNA from 1 species
AGCAGCCGCGGUAAUACGGAGGGGGCUAGCGUUGUUCGGAAUUACUGGGCGUAAAGGGCACGUAGGCUGGCUGUUAAGUCGGUGGUGAAAUCCCGAGGCUCAACCUCGGAAUUGCCUUCGAUACUGACGGUCUUGAGUGCGGGAGAGGUGAGUGGAAUUCCCAGUGUAGAGGUGAAAUUCGUAGAUAUUGGGAAGAACACCAGUGGCGAAGGCGGCUCACUGGCCCGCAACUGACGCUGAGGUGCGAAAGCGUGGGGAGCAAACAGG